AAGAUGUAGGAGGCAGAGAGAGACAGAGUCUGCUGUACUGUAGUUUGAAAGUCACAGAAAUAGCUGAGUCUUGCAGGAGACAACUUGAAGGGCUUUGGUGGUAUAAAUACAUAAAUAUAUAUAUAUAAAUACCCUGCUUUAAACGGCUUAAAGAAAACGCUCUGUCACCUGUCACCACCACCCUCAGGGGAGGGAGAGAAGACAGGAGGAGGAACAUACUGGUACUUACAGAAGAAAGAGGAAGGAGUUGAGGUAUCUAGUCUAUAUAUCGGACAGUGGUUGGUACGUGUGUGGAAAACAUCAACUCCUCUACUGUUCUCUAUGACCGAGCUGCUCUGAACUCACCUGGACGGACAGAUGAGAAGGAGAGAACACAGGGAAGGACAGUAGUGGCUCAGAGAGAGCUGCACCUCGUCGGCAGAGGACGACAGACUACCCACCAAAACGACCGGCUGGCUGACCGACCGAUCGACUCCUCCCCUUCUGUGGCUUUAUUGAAUGGGAUCCUGGUCACAGCGGAGCUGGAGAAUUUAAAAUACGUGUCCCUCAGGAGUACUUCUGUCCUACACGCGUAGCUGUGCCCCGAGCAGCAAGCUGCGAAACACACAGCCAAUAAAUCAAUAGCAGGGACCUCAGAUUUCUCCAUUACCACCUCC